CUUUUAGACCCCUUUCUGUUUCUGCAGGUUGAUAUGACUGCUCUAAUACACAUGACUGAUGACGACCUCAAGGCUUUAGGAAUACCAAUGGGUCCAAGAAAGAAGAUACUUCUAGCGUUGGAAUCAAGAGCCUGACAUGUAAGAGGAGAGCAGGUUAUUUUCCGGAUAUAUUCCCUGUAUCAUUAUAUUCCUAUGGCACUUGCAUGUUAGCAGGCCUGUGUUUUGACUGCCAAGGGCUUGACAUCUUUCUCUCUUCUUUUUCUUUUUCCUUUUUUAUUUUUAAUUUUUUUAGUUUUUUUUUUUUUUUUUUUGGUCCCCCUUAUGACUCUGGUUGUAUUGCUGAUAGAGUGGCUUCACCAAGCUCAUUUUGAUAUUAAACCGAUGGGAAAUUAUUAGCUUGCAAGGGAGGUAGGAAUUUUAACGUAAUGAAUUUAUUGGUUUCUUUUA